rnacentral:pre_miRNA from 1 species
CUUGUACUCCCUCCGUCCGAAAAUACUUGUCAUUGAAAUGGAUGUAUGUAGAUGUAUUUUAGUUCUAGACACAUCCAUUUUGAUGACAAGUAAAUCCGGACGGAGGGAGUACUUG